rnacentral:rRNA from 1 species
UACGUAGGGUGCAAGCGUUUGUCCGGAAUUAUUGGGCGUAAAGAGCGUGUAGGCGGCCCGAUUAGUCCGCUGUGAAAGUCCAGGGCUCAACCCUGGAAUGCCGGUGGAUACUGUCGGGCUAGAGUCCGGAAGGGGCGAGUGGAAUUCCUGGUGUAGCGGUGAAAUGCGCAGAUAUCAGGAGGAACACCAAUGGCGAAGGCAGCUCGCUGGGACGUGACUGACGCUGAGGCGCGAAGGCCAGGGGAGCAAACGGG